CGUGACUUUUACACCCUAAAAAUGCUCGGUUUAAUUAUAAUCUAGGCGUAAUAACAUUCAGAAAUAAUGGAAUCGUGCGGGUUAAUUUUAUUUGCAAUUUUGCAGUCGUGCCUCUUGGUUCUUGCCCAGCAAAAAGACCAGGAAUCUUUCUGCGCCCUUCGGCAGAAUUGCAAAAGCUGCAUUCAGACUCCGCAAUGUGUUUGGUGUUCCGCUUCGGGAUCUGGAUUGUCCAGAGGACCCAUCGGGCGUUGCGUGACUAGAGAAAAAUUUGAAAAGGAAAAGGACCUUUGGUGCUCUAACGAAAUGGUGAUACAAGAAGCUAGCACAAUGAAUGUUUUGGAUAGUAAACCCUUAAUGAACGCGAAGGGACGAGAGCCCGUUCAAAUUCAGCCCCAAAGGAUUCGUCUUCGUCUCAGACUCGGAGAGGAGUCCCGCAUCGAAGUCAAGUACAGCCAGGCAGAGGAUUAUCCGGUUGACCUGUAUUACCUGAUGGAUCUCUCGGCAUCCAUGGAGAAAUACAAGGACCAACUUUCGGAGCUCGGUUUCCGACUUGCCGAGGCCAUGAGCAAGUUAACGUCGAAUUUCCGCCUCGGUUUUGGCAGCUUCGUCGACAAAGUCGUGCUGCCCAUGACCUACAGGUCCAAGGACAGAGUGACCCAUCAGUGUAUUUUAAGCAGUGGGAAACCGUGUGCACCGCCUUAUGGAUAUAAAAAUCAGAUGCCUUUGACGGAGAACGUUGCGCUUUUCAAGCAACGGGUAAAGGAUGCGCCCGUUUCCGGGAAUCUGGAUGCACCGGAAGGUGGUCUGGACGCAAUGAUGCAGGCAAUGGUGUGCGCCAAAGAAAUUGGAUGGAGGGAAAAGGCUCGCCAUCUGCUCGUCUUUUCCACGGACGCGGGUUUUCACAUAGCCGGCGAUGGAAGGCUCGCUGGAAUAAUCGAGCCGAACGACGGUCUCUGCCACUUGGACACGGAAGGAUUUUACAAUUACUCCCUUCUUCAGGAUUAUCCUUCGAUCUCUCAAGUCAAUAGGAAAGCUCGGGAGAACAACGUCAACGUCAUCUUUGCCGUUCCGAAUUAUGAAAAUGAGACUUAUCAACUUUUGAGUCAACGAAUCAGCGGAUCAGCCAUCGGACUUCUUGAGAAAGAUUCAAAAAACGUCGUUGCUCUAGUUAGCGGGGAAUACGAGAAACUCGUGAAUUCCGUUACCAUGACUGACAAUGCUCCUCGACUGAUCGACAUUAAAUAUUAUUCGAAAUGUCUUAACGCAUAUGGAGAAUUAAAGGAGCGGAAGGAAUGCGGCGGACUUCGCGUUGAAGACGUCGUGAAAUUCGAAGUCGCCCUGAAGGCUACCGAGUGUCCAGAUAAUUCGAAAGAAUGGACGCAAAUCGUGCAAAUAAAGCCCGAAGGAAUCAGCGAAAGUCUCGUCAUCGAGGUGGAGGUCAUCUGCGACUGCCCCUGCGCUCGUCCAGGACAUCCCGGGUAUAUUCCGGACGCGGAGGAGUGCAAAGGAAAUGGAACGAUGAUCUGCGGCGUGUGCUCCUGCAGCGAGGGGUUCUACGGGAAACAGUGCGAGUGCAAAGUCUCCGAUGUCAAAGAGGAAAAAAGUAGCGUCAUUGAAGAUUGCAAACCGAGUAACGAGACCGACGAGAUUUGCAGUGGUCGCGGGACUUGCAAGUGCGGAGUUUGCGAUUGCGUAAAAAGAGUGAAUCCUCAAGAAAUGUUCUACGGGAAGUAUUGCGAGUGCGACAAUUUCUCCUGCAAACGCAGCGGCGGACUGGUCUGUGGGGGACGUGGAAAGUGCGAAUGCGGAACAUGUAAUUGUCUUCCCAGCUGGGGCGGGGAAACUUGCGAUUGUAAAGAAACAAAUAGCACUUGUACACUUCCGGGAGAAGAUGCAGAAAUCUGCAGUGGAAGAGGAGACUGCAUUUGCGGGACUUGCCAUUGCCACGAGAAGGACAAAAUUCGAUACUCCGGGCAAUAUUGCGAGGAAUGCCCAGACAUUAUUUCUUGCAGACGUGUCCUGGAAAACGAUGCGAGGAAUUGAAGGACUGCGUCGAGUGCAAGGCUUACAAAAGCGGACCUUUGGCAAUAAAUCGGGAAUGCGAUUCCUGUCUUCACCAGGUUGACAUUACUGACAAAAUCGAGGACGAUCCUACGGCGGUUGAUUACGCGAACGCUCAUAUCUGUCGUGCUCCCGCAGAAGGGGGAUGCACUUUUGCAUUUAAAUAUGAACAUUACAGAGGUGGAACAGGGGGGGA
rnacentral:misc_RNA from 1 species